rnacentral:rRNA from 1 species
UGGGGAAUUUUGCACAAUGGGGGAAACCAUGAUGCAGCGACGCCGCGUGAUUUAGAAGGCCUUCGGGUUGUAAAAAUCUUUUCUAUGGGAAGAAAAUGACAGUACCAUAGGAAUAAGGACCGGCUAAUUACGUGCCAGCAGCCGCGGUAAUACGUAAGGUCCGAGCGUUGUCCGGAAUCAUUGGGCGUAAAGGGUACGUAGGCGGGUAAGCAAGUUAGAAGUGAAAUCCUGUAGCUCAACUACAGUAAGCUUUUAAAACUGCUCAUCUUGAGAUAUGGAAGGGAAAGUGGAAUUCCUAGUGUAGCGGUGAAAUGCGCAGAUAUUAGGAGGAAUACCGGUGGCGAAGGCGACUUUCUGGCCAUAAUCUGACGCUGAGGUACGAAAGCGUGGGUAGCAAACAGG